CGCUGGCGGCGUGCCUAAUACAUGCAAGUCGAACGGUCUUUCUAUGGAAGCUGCUUCCACUGAGAAGAUAGUGGCGAACGGGUGAGUAACACGUGGGUAACCUGCCCAUAAGAGGGGGAUAACAUCCGGAAACGGGUGCUAAUACCGCAUAGUUUUCUUGAUUGCAUGAUUGAGAAGGAAAGACGGCCUUUGUGCUGUCGCUUAUGAAUGGACCCGCGGCGUAUUAGUUAGUUGGUGAGGUAACGGCUCACCAAGACGAUGAUACGUAGCCGACCUGAGAGGGUGAUCGGCCACAUUGGGACUGAGACACGGCCCAAACUCCUACGGGAGGCAGCAGUAGGGAAUCUUCCGCAAUGGACGAAAGUCUGACGGAGCAACGCCGCGUGAGUGAAGAAGGUUUUCGGGAAUCGUAAAACUCUGUUGUCAGAGAAGAACAAGUUGGAGAGUAACUGCUCCAGCCUUGACGGUAUCUGACCAGAAAGCCACGGCUAACUACGUGCCAGCAGCUGC
rnacentral:rRNA from 1 species